rnacentral:sRNA from 1 species
GUUGUUUUUAUUUUAUUUUCAAUGUUAAUAAAUAAAUCAUAUGCCAAAAAAAGUAAAAGUAAACCAAAACCAUAAGAAGAAUUUAAGAAGUUGAUUAAUCUCUUUUUUCAGAUUUUAAGGAUAAUUUAAGUAGGGAAAUUACUUGAGGUUUUUGAACUUUUUGAAGACCCAAAAAGAAAGUGAAUGCAAUCCCAUAUUGAUUUGAAAGUUAAUGCAUUAAAGACCAUCCCCAACCGGAGGCUUUUAGGUGAGGCCCUAACAAUAAAAAAAGUAAAAAAUAAUCAAAAGUUAGUAGGAACAUGAGAGAGAAACUCUUAAAACCCGUAAGUAAGGGACGAGCUCACAAACAAAAUAACACAUGUAUUUUUAUUACUGGUCUAUCUGUAUUAAAAAAAUAGAUUAUAACUAUUAAAAUAAAAUCUAUUUUUUUGUCUUUUUAGAAAUUUUUAGGGCCUUAACCGUUGGACAUGCUCUAAGUUGCCCAUGGUAUUGAUUUGGUACGAGUUAAUGCAAUCACCGUCUUUGUUUUAAAAGAAAGUUAUACUUUCCACGAUACGAAACAUUUAUGUUGGAAA